rnacentral:rRNA from 1 species
GAUGAACGCUAGCUACAGGCUUAACACAUGCUAGUCGAGGAGCAGCAUUCUUCUAGCAAUACACGAGAUCGCGACCGGCGCACGGGUGAGUGACACGUAUCCAACCUGCCUUCAACUCAGGGAUAGCCGUUCGACAGAACGAUUAAUUCCUGAAGGUAUAGUCAUUCCGCCUGGUGUUGCUAUUAAAGAACUUAGGUUUAAGAUGGGGAUGCGUUCCAUUAGAUGGUUGGCGGGGUAACGGCCCACCAAGUCAGCGAUGGAUAGGGGUUCUGAGAGGAAGGCCCCCCACAUUGGAACUGAGACACGGUCCAAACUCCUACGGGAGGUAGCAGUGAGGAAUAUUGGUCAAUGGACGAGAGUCUGAACCAGCCAAUUAGCGUGAAGGAUGACCGCCCUAUGGGUUGUAAACUUCUUUUGUGUGGGAAUAAAGUUCGGCACGUGUGCCGUUUUGUAUGUACCAUACGAAUAAGGAUCGGCUAACUCCGUGCCAGCCGCCGCAGUAA